CCUACGGGAGGCAGCAGUGAGGAAUAUUGGUCAAUGGGCUUACGCCUGAACCAGCCAAGUCGCGUGAGGGAAGACUGCCCUAUGGGUUGUAAACCUCUUUUGUCAGGGAGCAACGCCGGCUACGUGUAGCCGUACUGAGAGUCCCUGAAGAAAAAGCAUCGUCUAACUCCGUGCCAGCAGCCGCGGUAAUACGGAGGAUGCGCGCGUUAUCCGGAUUUAUUGGGUUGAAAGGGUGCGUAGGCGGAAUGCCAAGUCAGCGGUAAAAUCGCGGGGCUCAACCUCGCUCCGCCGUUGAAACUGGCGUUCUUGAGUGGGCGAGAAGUAUGCGGAAUGCGUGGUGUAGCGGUGAAAUGCAUAGAUAUCACGCAGAACUCCGAUUGCGAAGGCAGCAUACCGGCGCCCAACUGACGCUGAAGCACGAAAGCGUGGGUAUCGAACAGGAUUAGAUACCCCUGUAGUC
rnacentral:rRNA from 1 species